rnacentral:rRNA from 1 species
CACAAUGGGCGCAAGCCUGAUGCAGCGACGCCGCGUGCGGGAUGACGGCCUUCGGGUUGUAAACCGCUUUUGACUGGGAGCAAGCCCUUCGGGGUGAGUGUACCUUUCGAAUAAGCACCGGCUAACUACGUGCCAGCAGCCGCGGUAAUACGUAGGGUGCAAGCGUUAUCCGGAAUUAUUGGGCGUAAAGGGCGCGUAGGCGGUUCGUCGCGUCCGGUGUGAAAGUCCAUCGCUUAACGGUGGAUCCGCGCCGGGUACGGGCGGGCUUGAGUGCGGUAGGGGAGACUGGAAUUCCCGGUGUAACGGUGGAAUGUGUAGAUAUCGGGAAGAACACCAAUGGCGAAGGCAGGUCUCUGGGCCGUCACUGACGCUGAGGAGCGAAAGCGUGGGGAGCGAACAGGAUUAGAUACCCUGGUAGUCCACGCCGUAAACGGUGGAUGCUGGAUGUGGGGACCAUUCCACGGUCUCCGUGUCGGAGCCAACGCGUUAAGCAUCCCGCCUGGGGAGUACGGCCGCAAGGCUAAAACUCAAAGAAAUUGACGGGGGCCCGCACAAGCGGCGGAGCAUGCGGAUUAAUUCGAUGCAACGCGAAGAACCUUACCUGGGCUUGACAUGUUCCCGACAGCCCCAGAGAUGGGGCCUCCCUUCGGGGCGGGUUCACAGGUGGUGCAUGGUCGUCGUCAGCUCGUGUCGUGAGAUGUUGGGUUAAGUCCCGCAACGAGCGCAACCCCCGCCCUGUGUUGCCAGCACGUCGUGGUGGGAACUCACGGGGGACCGCCGGGGUCAACUCGGAGGAAGGUGGGGAUGACGUCAGAUCAUCAUGCCCCUUACGUCCAGGGCUUCACGCAUGCUACAAUGGCCGGUACAACGGGAUGCGACCUCGUGAGGGGGAGCGGAUCCCUUAAAACCGGUCUCAGUUCGGAUUGGAGUCUGCAACCCGACUCCAUGAAGGCGGAGUCGCUAGUAAUCGCGGAUCAGCAACGCCGCGGUGAAUGCGUUCCCGGGCCUUGUACACACCGCCCGUCAAGUCAUGAAAGUGGGUAGCACCCGAAGCCGGUGGCCCAACCUUUUGGGGGGAGCCGUCUAAGGUGAGACUCGUGAUUGGGGCUAAGUCGUAACAAGGUAGCCGUACCGGAAGGUGCGGCUG